rnacentral:rRNA from 1 species
UACGUAGGGGCAAGCGUUGUCCGGAUUUAUUGGGCGUAAAGAGCGUGUAGGCGGCCAAACAGGUCCACUGUGAAAACAUCGAGGCUCAACCUCGAGAGGUCGGUGGAAACCGUAUGGCUAGAGUCCGGAAGAGGAGAGUGGAAUUCCCGGUGUAGCGGUGAAAUGCGCAGAUAUCGGGAGGAACACCAGUGGCGAAGGCGGCUCACUGGACUGGUAUUGACGCUGAGGUGCGAAAGCGUGGGGAGCAAACAGG